AUUCACUCAAAAAUGAUUGGUCUUAUAAAAUCUAAGUAAGAUAAACAACAUAGCAAGAUAAUAUAUUUACUUUUAGGCUGAAAUCAAUUUUGCUAAAAACUGUACUUUUGUGCUUGAUUUCGUUGUUUUAACUGUAUUAGGUGAAAAUACUUAAAACAAGAAUCUAUUGAUUUUCACAACUAAGACAAUUCACUUCUUCCAUUUCACUUCUAACAAGUGGCUCAAUCAGUGUUUAAAUCCAACCGUUACACCCCCCCGCCAGUAGGGGAAGACCGUGCCUCUGCUCUCAGGUGACCGAUUCAAGUCCUGUCCUCCGGACUUCCGUUUGCGUUUGAUACGCUACACCUACACCUAUACUGUCUAUGGCUACACCAACAGACAAAGAAAGAAGAUUUUAUUUGCUUCGCCAAACGAUCUCACGAAAAAAUGACUCCAGUCCACAAGCAAGAAAGCGUUCCAGGACGGAGCGUGUGUCUAGAAGCCCUGUCUGUCAGUAGACAUCACUGCCACCACCACCUGCAUAUGAGUCAACACCACACAGGAAAUCAGCCGGUCGCCCAGAGCUGGAUGGGUGAAUUCUAACGCAAGCUCGGCCUGCCACUUCAUCUUGGGACCCAGUUGAAGCAACUUUUCCUGACAAGCCCGGAGGUUCG